GUCUAUGUAAUUUAUAUAAAAUACCGGUCUUGUAAAUCGGAUAAAGGUUUCUCCUCUUAGGCU
rnacentral:tRNA from 1 species